GGAUCCAGACUUUGAUUCUGGCUCAGGAUGAACGCUAGCUACAGGCUUAACACAUGCAAGUCGAGGGGAAACGACAUCGAAAGCUUGCUUUUGAUGGGCGUCGACCGGCGCACGGGUGAGUAACGCGUAUCCAACCUGCCCAUCACUUGGGGAUAACCUUGCGAAAGUAAGACUAAUACCCAAUGAUAUCUCUAGAAGACAUCUGAAAGAGAUUAAAGAUUUAUCGGUGAUGGAUGGGGAUGCGUCUGAUUAGCUUGUUGGCGGGGUAACGGCCCACCAAGGCGACGAUCAGUAGGGGUUCUGAGAGGAAGGUCCCCCACAUUGGAACUGAGACACGGUCCAAACUCCUACGGGAGGCAGCAGUGAGGAAUAUUGGUCAAUGGACGAGAGUCUGAACCAGCCAAGUAGCGUGCAGGAUGACGGCCCUAUGGGUUGUAAACUGCUUUUAUAAGGGAAUAAAGUGAGAGCCGUGACUCUUUUUGCAUGUACCUUAUGAAUAAGGACCGGCUAAUUCCGUGCCAGCAGCCGCGGUAAUACGGAAGGUCCGGGCGUUAUCCGGAUUUAUUGGGUUUAAAGGGAGCGUAGGCCGGAGAUUAAGCGUGUUGUGAAAUGUAGACGCUCAACGUCUGCACUGCAGCGCGAACUGGUUUCCUUGAGUACGCACAAAGUGGGCGGAAUUCGUGGUGUAGCGGUGAAAUGCUUAGAUAUCACGAAGAACUCCGAUUGCGAAGGCAGCUCACUGGAGCGCAACUGACGCUGAAGCUCGAAAGUGCGGGUAUCGAACAGGAUUAGAUACCCUGGUAGUCCGCACGGUAAACGAUGGAUGCCCGCUGUUGGUCUGAAUAGGUCAGCGGCCAAGCGAAAGCAUUAAGCAUCCCACCUGGGGAGUACGCCGGCAACGGUGCAACUCAAAUGAAUUGACGG
rnacentral:rRNA from 1 species